AGAAUCAACGCUGGCGGCGUGCCUAACACAUGCAAGUCGAACGAGAAAGGGACUUCGGUCCUGAGUAAAGUGGCGCACGGGUGAGUAACACGUGACUAACCUACCCUUGAGUGGGGAAUAACUUCGAGAAAUCGAGGCUAAUUCCGCAUAAUACCUACGGGUCAAAGGAGCAAUUCGCUUAAGGAGGGGGUCGCGGCAGAUUAGCUAGUUGGCGGGGUAAUGGCCCACCAAGGCAGUGAUCUGUAUCCGGCCUGAGAGGGCGCACGGACACACUGGAACUGAAACACGGUCCAGACUCCUACGGGAGGCAGCAGUGGGAAUUUUGCGCAAUGGGGGAAACCCUGACGCAGCAACGCCGCGUGGAGGAUGAAGUCUCUUGGGACGUAAACUCCUUUCGAUCGGGACGAUAAUGACGGUACCGAUAGAAGAAGCCCGGCUAACUUCGUGCCAGCAGCCGC
rnacentral:rRNA from 1 species